UUGCAUAUCCUACACCCCCCCAGUCCCCUGUGACAACACUCCAUCCUCUAGGACAAGGUGAAGUCAGAUUUCUGUAAACACCUGGAGUCAAAGACCCUGGGGCCCAAUGCUGUCACCAACACAUCCAAUCAUAAAGAAGUUAGAAUUGUUGGGUGGGGCUUCCAAGCCAGAAUUUAGAGAUUUAAAGACUGAAUCCUGUGCAGCUGGGCUCAAUUCUGGAUCCCCAGGAACCAUUGAAGAGCUGAGUCUGUGGAGUGCACAAGGACAGCACUGAACAUCUCAGGUGCUUGAAACAUGACUCCUGCUGUCUUCCUGGCCAUCCUGUGCUUGGCAGUUACCUCAGCUGCUGAAUCCUCUGAGCCCAUCCUGGAUGCAGAACAUGAAGACCAGCCAAUAAAAAAUGAGCAGGAUAGAGAAGGAUACAGAAGGCAGAUAUGGGAGGAAUUUAUGAAGAAGGUUGAACUCUACUAUAAGAAGAAUGCCCAAAAGAAUGACAGCCUCAACACAGAAAUGGAAGACAUUGAUGAUUUUGAAAAUGACCAGAAUACUGAUAGCUUCAACAUAGAAAUGGAAGACUUUAAUGACUUGGUGAGUGUGGCUUAGAUGGCUUAACUCCAUGUUUCUUCACUUCACAUUUUUACAGUUAGUCUGAUGGUUUUCAAUAUUCUGUUUGAUUUUUUUUCACGAAGACUGAUGCUGAGUUCAAGAAUUUGAUGGAUAAAAUUUUGUUCCCAAUGUUUGGAGAGGAGGAAAAAGACCAGCCAGCUGGUGAUGACGACCCUAAACUUGAGGAUUUGUCAAGGAGCGAUGACGUGACUCCUGUACAGGAUUAGGUAUGAAGGUGUCAUAAUC
rnacentral:lncRNA from 1 species